rnacentral:rRNA from 1 species
AGUGAACGCUGGCGGUAGGCCUAACACAUGCAAGUCGAACGGCAGCACAGUAAGAUCUUGCUCUUACGGGUGGCGAGUGGCGGACGGGUGAGGAAUACAUCGGAAUCUACUUUUUCGUGGGGGAUAACGUAGGGAAACUUACGCUAAUACCGCAUACGACCUACGGGUGAAAGCAGUGGAUCUUCGGACCUUUCGCGAUUGAAUGAGCCGAUGUCGGAUUAGCUAGUUGGCUGGGUAAAGGCCCACCAAUGCGACGAUCCGUAGCUGGUCUGAGAGGAUGAUAAGCAAAACUGGAAGGGAGACACGGUCAAGAGACCUACGGGAGGAAGCAGAGGGGAAUAUUGGACAAUGGGCGCAAGCAUGAUACAGAAAUACCGAGUGGGUGAAGAAGGCAUUCGGGUUGUAAAGACCUUUUGUUGGGAAAGAAAAGAAGCAGGUUAAUACCACGCUGUUCUGACGGUACCCAAAGAAUAAGCAACGGCUAACUUCGUG